rnacentral:scRNA from 1 species
GUGUACUUACUUCCGUGUUGGUUCUCUCUGCG